rnacentral:rRNA from 1 species
UACAGAGGUGGCAAGCGUUGUUCGGAUUUAUUGGGCGUAAAGGGUCCGUAGGCGGUCCGGAAAGUCGGAUGUGAAAUCCCACAGCUUAACUGUGGAACUGCAUUCGAAACUUCCGGACUCGAGUGUGAGAGGGGUAAGGGGAAUUCCCGGUGUAAGAGUGAAAUCUGUAGAGAUCGGGAGGAACACCAGUCGCGAAGGCGCCUUACUGGCUCACUACUGACGCUGAGGGACGAAAGCCAGGGGAGCAAACGGG